rnacentral:rRNA from 1 species
UACGUAGGGUACAAGCAUUAAUCGGAAUUAUUGGGCGUAAAGGGCGCGUAGGCGGGGAUGUAAGUCAGGUGUGAAAUACCAAAGCUCAACUUUGGUGCUGCAUUUGAAACUGCAUUUCUUGAGGACUGACGGAGAAAGCGGAAUUCCAUGAGUAGCGGUGAAAUGCGUAGAUACAUGGAGGAACACCGGUGGCGAAAGCGGCUACCUGGACAAUUGCUGACGCUCAGGCACGAAAGCGUGGGGAGCAAAAGGG